GAGGGAGAAGCCAAGAACAAACCCUAACUUUCAGAAAAUCACAAGAUUAGGAAGGAAUUAAGGGCCUAAAUUGAUGCAUGAGCUCCAAUCUUUAACUAUCUAAGCUUGUUCAACACAAGGCGUUAAGGAAGAAAGUUCGAGUCAAGUGAAGCAACAAGGGGAUCAAGACCGAGGUAAAUCUCAUGUCUAGCUAUCAAGCUCUGCCCGGUUCGAACACGCCUCAAGCCCGUCAAGCGUUCCGCAUUUUGUAAAAGUCAAUGUUUAAUACUUUGUCACUUAUGUUUUCGUCUAGUAGUUAAACC